AUUGAACGCUGGCGGCAGGCUUAACACAUGCAAGUCGAGCGGGGUGAUGGUGCUUGCACUAUCACUUAGCGGCGGACGGGUGAGUAAUGCUUAGGAAUCUGCCUAUUAGUGGGGGACAACAUCUCGAAAGGGAUGCUAAUACCGCAUACGUCCUACGAGAGAAAGCAGGGGAUCACUUGUGACCUUGCGCUAAUAGAUGAGCCUAAGUCGGGCUAGCUAGUUGGUGGGGUAAAGGCCUACCAAGGCGACGAUCUGUAGCGGGUCUGAGAGGAUGAUCCGCCACACUGGGACUGAGACACGGCCCAGACUCCUACGGGAGGCAGCAGUGGGGAAUAUUGGACAAUGGGGGGAACCCUGAUCCAGCCAUGCCGCGUGUGUGAAGAAGGCCUUAUGGUUGUAAAGCACUUUAAGCGAGGAGGAGGCUCUUUUGGUUAAUACCCAAGAUGAGUGGACGUUACUCGCAGAAUAAGCACCGGCUAACUCUGUGCCAGCCGCCGCAGUAA
rnacentral:rRNA from 1 species